AGGAGUUUAGAUUAACUUUAAACCAAAAGCCUUCAAAGCUUUAGACAGAGGUUAAAAUCCUCUAACUCCUG
rnacentral:tRNA from 1 species